UUUCAUUUAGGCAACAGUUUUCACGACACAGAAAGAAAAAUACUGAAAUUCAAGUCUUCGAUGUAAGUAUUGCUUUCAAAUAUAUCAUGUUAAUGAAAUAAAUGCCAACACCUUAGGUAAGUAUUGCCUAUCAUGUUUUGAAACAUUUCAAAUGUCAAUGUUUAAGCAGCAACAGUCUUGGUUUUUCCUUAGGUUUCGAUGCAGAGCAGGCUUUUUUGUUGUAUGGAAGCACUCCGUCGGUUACGACGACGAGGGUUCCGGUUGAUCCGAAUCAACGGAACAGCCUGCUCGUGAAAUUAACGUGUAAGUGGCUGAGCACUCCACAGACACGUGCACCCUUAACGUAGUUCUCGGGGAUAUUCAGCGUGACACAGAGAGUGACAAGGCCGGCCCUUUGAAAUACAGGUACAACAGAAACAGGAAGUAAGAGUGAGAGAAAGUUGUGGUUAAAGAGUACAGCAAGGAUCACCACCAUCCCCUGCCGGAGCGUCGUGGAGCUUUAGGUGUUUUCGCUCAAUAAACACUCACAACGCCCGGUCUGGGAAUCGAAACCGCGAUCCUAUGACCGCGAGUCCGCUGCCCUAACCACUGGGCCAUUGCGCCUCCACUUUUUGUUGUAACCUAAAUGGAGCAAAACGGUUCACUGGGAUCUUUUCGGUUUGAACAGCAGUUUUUUUUAAUAAUUUCCACGUAGCUAAACACUUUUAAACUUCGUAUACUGGUAGAAUGUGUUUAUAAAACAUCUUUUUCUCUUGGCUUUACUGAGAAAAUUCUAUAGUUUGUAAGAUAUUUGUUGUUUUUUUCUUCAAUUUCUGCAAUUUCAACCAAUCAAUGACCGUCUAUUGAGGUGAAAACAUUCUGUGCCGUAUGAACAUGUCCCUCGUUUAAGAAACAGAUUGGGUUUAUUUACAUUUGUGAAGAAAAAAAGAUACCCUUUCCCCACCCCUAACCCUAAAAUAGAUUGAAAUGCAAUAGAUCGAUACUAGGGUCAUAAUUAUGGGUGACAAUUUCAUAUGACACCGCUAGAAAAAACUGCCGUUCAAACCGAAAAGAUCCCGACUCACUCUGCCGUUUUGCCCCAUAUGUGUGUUUAUUUGUGUGUGUGUGUAUGUGUAUUUUUGUGUAUAUGUGCACAUGCGUGUGCAUGUGUGUGUGUGUGUGUGCAUGUGUGUCUUUGUAUGUGUGUAUUCAUGUGUAUGUGUGUCUACGUAUGCAGAGGUGUGAGUGCGCAUGAGUUUUGCCUCACUUUCUUCAUCCCAUUUUGUUUAUUAUUUUCAGAUGGUGAGAAAUUACAUUCGUAAAAUUGGAAAAGGCUCUUGGACUCCAGAUAACCUACAGGUAGCCAUGCAAUCUGUCCGACAAUGAAGUUCUCUUCGCCGGGUAGCAAAGCAGUAUGAAGUCCCCAUGACAACCCCGAAGAGACACUUGGAAGGCAAAAGGUCUUCUCCUGGCCAGCUUUCUU
rnacentral:lncRNA from 1 species